rnacentral:tRNA from 1 species
GUUGUGGCUUAGCAGUAGAGCACCCACCUCUCAAGUGUGAGACACUGGGUUCGAUCCUCAGCAAC